AAUUCCAGGGAUUAUUCAGGCUGAAAGGAGUCUCAUAAAAUAAAUAAAUCAAGACUGUAUACACAUGGUGAUACCAAUCAAAUUUGGCAAGAAAGUUGCAGGCAAUUCAAAAUGGCUGAGCAACAAUUUACAAGCCUAAAGUUUAGUAAGGGUAUUUGUUUUUGAUGUUUCUAAAAAAAUAUGCCUUGUUUAUUUGGGCAUUUGGUG
rnacentral:misc_RNA from 1 species